UACGGAGGAUGCAAGCGUUAUCCGGAUUCAUUGGGUUUAAAGGGUGCGCAGGCGGACAAAUAAGUCAGUGGUGAAAUCUUUCGGCUUAACCGGGAAACUGCCAUUGAUACUGUUAGUCUUGAGUUCGGUUGAGGUAGGCGGAAUGUGUAAUGUAGCGGUGAAAUGCUUAGAUAUUACACAGAACACCAAUUGCGUAGGCAGCUUACUAGACCGACACUGACGCUGAGGCACGAAAGCGUGGGGAGCGAACAGG
rnacentral:rRNA from 1 species